UUUUCUGUAGAAUUUAAUGAUUAGUUGGAAUAAAUGGCUUAAGUGCCUAUGUUUAAUAUUGGAUAUUCGUUGGCAUAUUUGUAGACCUUGGGGAGCCCGAGGCGUAGAUUGGGAUUGACUUUAGGUUGGCUAUCUUGGAGUGCGUACGAGGUACAGACGCACAGUUUGGUGAUUCACCAGUUUAGGACAUCCCCUUCUGCUGGUUGGAGUGCUCUUCUCAUUUCAGAGCAUAUAUGUUGGUAUAUAUUUGUUCGCUGAGUAUGUACAUAUUUGUUCAGGGGUACGGCGGGGCCCUGUCCCGCCAUAUGUUUUGAUCGGUCUGUUUAGAGGUCUGUAGACGUAUUUGUGGGUUUGUGUGCCUACUUCUGUACAGUUGUGUUUAUAUGGUUCUAUUCGUUAUGGCAGCCUUGUCGGCGUGCAUUUGUAUAUGUGUUUUGGGCCGUUGUGCCAUUUGAUAGCCUUGUCGGCUUUUGACAUAUUUGACAGUCUUGUCGGCUUUUGACAUAUUUGAUAGCCUUGCCGGCUUUUUGAUAUAUGUGCAUAUGUUCGGCGAUGUAUAUUCCGCCGCCUCUUCUGAUUCUGAUAUAAUGUUUUGUACGCGCAAUCGCGCAAGAUAA